UGAGUAACACGUGAGUAACCUGCCCUUGACUUUGGGAUAACUUCAAGAAACUGGGGCUAAUACCGGAUAGGAGCUCCUGCUGCAUGGUGGGGGUUGGAAAGUUUCGGCGGUUGGGGAUGGACUCGCGGCUUAUCAGCUUGUUGGUGGGGUAGUGGCUUACCAAGGCUUUGACGGGUAGCCGGCCUGAGAGGGUGACCGGCCACAUUGGGACUGAGAUACGGCCCAG
rnacentral:rRNA from 1 species